rnacentral:rRNA from 1 species
AUAUUCCUGUACCACGUCGCACUCAUUUGACUGAUGGGGGGACGGGGAAGGCUAUGGGAACCCAGGCGAUGGUCGUCCUGGGUCAAGCAUGUAGGGGUGGCCGAUGAUAAAUGCGCGGCCGCAUAACCUGAGGUGCGAUGACAGCUGGCUUCAAGCCGGCGAGUCCCGGACGCCAUGCCUCCGAGAAAAGCCUCUAGGGAGAGUGCACGUGCCCGUACCAAAACCGACACAGGUGGGCAAGUAGAGAAUACUAAGGUGAUCGAGAUAACCAUCGUUAAGGAACUCGGCAAAAUCGCUCCGUAACUUCGGGAUAAGGAGCGCCCCAGUAAGGUGAAGCACCUCGCGUGCGGAGCCUGAGAGGGCCGCAGUGAAUAGGUUCAACCGACUGUUUACCAAAAACACAGGGCUCUGCUAAGUCGUAAGACGACGUAUAGGGUCUGACGCCUGCCCGGUGCCGGAAGGUUACGUGGAGGUGUUAGGGGUAACCCGAAGCACUGAAACUAAGCCCCGGUAAACGGCGGCGGUAACAAUAACCGUCCUAAGGUAGCGAAAUUCCUUGUCGGGUAAGUUCCGACCUGCACGAAUGGCGUAACGAGUUGAACGCUGUCUCAACGAUGGGCUCGGUGAAAUUGCAGUCUCGGUGAAGAUGCCGAGUACCCGUGGCUAGACGGAAAGACCCCGUGAACCUUUACUACAACCUGGUAUUGGAGUGCGGUGCAUCUCGCUCAGGAUAGGAGGGAGUCUUUGAAGCGCCGGCUGCGGCUGGCGUGGAGACAACCUUGAGAUACCUCCCUUGAUGUAUUGUGCUUCUAACACUGCGCCGUAAUCCGGGCAGUGAACAGUGCCAGGCGGGUAGUUUGACUGGGGCGGUCGCCUCCCAAAAUGUAACGGAGGCGCGCAAAGGUUCCCUCAGCACGGUUGGAAAUCGUGCGUAGAGUGCAAAAGCAGUAAGGGAGCUUGACUGUGAGACCGACAGGUCGAGCAGGUGCGAAAGCAGGCUUUAGUGAUCCGGCAGUAGCAAGUGGAAGUGCUGUCGCUCAACGGAUAAAAGGUACUCCGGGGAUAACAGGCUUAUCGAGUCCAAGAGUCCACAUCGACGACUCGGUUUGGCACCUCGAUGUCGGCUCGUCGCAUCCUGGGGCUGAAGUAGGUCCCAAGGGUUGGGCUGUUCGCCCAUUAAAGCGGUACGCGAGCUGGGUUCAGAACGUCGUGAGACAGUUCGGUCCCUAUCUGCCAUGGGCGUUGGAGAAUUGAAAGGAUUCGUCCCUAGUACGAGAGGACCGGGAUGAACGCACCUCUGGUGUAUCUGUUGUCCUGCCAAGGGCAUCGCAGGUUAGCUACGUGCGGACCGGAUAACCGCUGAAGGCAUCUAAGCGGGAAGCCGACCUUGAGAUGAGUUCUCCCACCUCCUUGAGAGGGUAAGAUCCCUGGUAGACCACCAGGUUGAUAGGCCGGAUCUGGAAGAGCGGUAACGCUCGUAGGAGACCGGUACUAAUGGAUCGAGGGCUUGAC